rnacentral:rRNA from 1 species
GACGAACGCUGGCGGCGUGCCUAAUACAUGCAAGUCGAGCGGACAGAAGGGAGCUUGCUCCCGGAAGUUAGCGGCGGACGGGUGAGUAACACGUGGGCAACCUACCCUGUAGAUCGGGAUAACAUCGAGGAAUCGGUGCUAAUACCGGAUAAUCAUUUGAAGUGCAUGCUUCGAAUGUAAAAGAUGGCUCCGGCUAUCACUACGGGAUGGGCCCGCGGCGCAUUAGCUAGUUGGUAAGGUAAUGGCUUACCAAGGCAACGAUGCGUAGCCGACCUGAGAGGGGGAUCGGCCACACUGGGACUGAGACACGGCCCAGACCCCUACGGGAGGCAGCAGUAGGGAAUCUUCCGCAAUGGACGAAAGUCUGACGGAGCAACGCCGCGUGAGUGAUGAAGGUUUUCGGAUCGUAAAGCUCUGUUGUUAGGGAAGAACAAGUGCCGUUUGAAUAAGGCGGCACCUUGACGGUACCUAACCAGAAAGCCACGGCUAACUACGUGCCAGCCGCCGCCGUAACAC